GAUGAACGCUGGCGGCGUGCCUAAUACAUGCAAGUCGAGCGAAUGGAUUGAGAGCUUGCUCUUAUGAAGUUAGCGGCGGACGGGUGAGUAACACGUGGGUAACCUGCCCAUAAGACUGGGAUAACUCCGGGAAACCGGGGCUAAUACCGGAUAACAUUUUGAACCGCAUGGUUCGAAAUUGAAAGGCGGCUUCGGCUGUCACUUAUGGAUGGACCCGCGUCGCAUUAGCUAGUUGGUGAGGUAACGGGUCACCAAGGCAACGAUGCGUAGCCGACAUGAGAGGGGGAUCGGCCACACUGGGACUGCGCACAGGCCCAGACUCCUACGGGAGGCAGCAGUAGGGAAUCUUCCGCAAUGGACGAAAGUCUGACGGAGCAACGCCGCGUGAGUGGUGAAGGCUUUCGGGUCGUAAAACUCUGUUGUUAGGGAAGAACAAGUGCUAGUUGAAUAAGCUGGAACCUUGACGGUACCUAACCAGAAAGCCACGGCUAACUACGUGCCAGCCGCCGCCGUAA
rnacentral:rRNA from 1 species